GCAUGAGCGUGAUAGAAUGAAGAACGAGAAAGCGCACCGCUUCCGUCCGGUCCGGUGAAAAGUGAAAUGCAGAGCAAUACAUCCUUGAAGGACUUAAGGUCAAAUCAUACAUUGUCAAAUAUAUUUGGGCUGCGCGAAUAUUAGAAUAUUUCGGAUCUCGAGGCGCCUAACUGUGUUCCGAAUCGAAUACGGAAUUAUAUGUUCAAUUUUGAAUCGAAUCAGUAUUUCUUCCAAACUAAGUACAUACAGAAACAGCAUGACUCGAGGCCUGAUCCCAUGGCAUCACAAAACACCCGCGCUACUGGGUAUGGUAAAAAGGAAACGGAAAACUGUUGUACGAUUCACGGAAAUUGCGGGCCGGGCAGUCCUCCGUCAAGUUAUGCAAACGCAAAAAGAAAAAAAAAAAGAAAGAAAAAUGUCGAAAAGACGAAGCACCCUGUGACACGGCUUUUCUGGUAACCUCCUCAACCUUGCUGCCGCUAUCAGCGGAAGCAUGGAAGAAGGAACUGAAGGCGAGACUCGUCGUUUCUUUCCACAGUAUGCUACAUUACGUGACGGAGUAAUUAACGUGGUCGAGAUUUUGCGCAAAGAAAAUUUACCCCGGCAAGUUUUAUUGUAGUGGGGUAAUGUGUUUUGUGUUCAAAUUGGUUGAGAAAUCGAAAAGCCCUUUCCGUUUCGGACAAGAAAAAACAAAAGCCAACAACAAACUAACGAAAUAAAAAAAGUUACGCUGACUUGACACAUUUCAAAGUUCUAUUCAGAAUAUUUCUCGCGACUGAAAAUCGAUCAAGUGCGCGCAAGUCAAACGUUUGUCGAUGACAAGCGCCAGUGACACCACGAAGUAGAAUUUUAAACCUCUGUUUUGUGUCACAUUACAUGACACACCCGCUGUAUCGGCAUGUGUGCUAUACGUGUAUUCGGGAUCAGUGAAAACAACAACGCUUCGGUGAAGAAACUAUUUGCUUAUCGUAUUUCCUUUUUCUAUGUAUCUACUCGUUUCUUUUUCAAAAUGACCGCGUGUAAAUUUGAGCAAAUGUAAACAGACUAGUGCCCGCACUGCGACGACACAACCACGGUAAGAGGGACGGAAAAGUCGCACGUCCGAAAAACCUUGGGUCCGUGCACUUGCAAGCGCUGAUUUCGAGGUGCUGCGCCGCUGCAUAGAAGAGCGCCGACGCUCUGCAACGCCCUGCAGAUGCGGUGUUCAUGUCUCUGUUGUGUGCAUUUUAUAUUUAGGAUGAUUCUCUCUAUCAGAAGGAAAGCUGUUGUCCUCCUCCUCGUCUCAAUGAAAAAUCUCAUUUUUGUACAGCAAGGAGACCACGUGAAAACAAGAGGGCAUCACGGAACCUGCAGCCAUGGGAGAUGACAGAUCUUCCGCUGUUUGCGCAGGCUUUGCUUUGCAACCCUUACUAAGCGACAGUCAACCACAAGUCCACCCCAAGCUGCCUCGACAUACUCAAGAAAUGGGUGCAAAACCUGAGCAGUGCUCACAAACUUCGAUCACCGCAGCACCUCCAAAAAGUAAAAGCAUAUGUGUCACAUGAGAUUUUUAAAGGUAUUCAUAGUAUAUAAUACCUUGUAUUAACUGUUGUAGAUCUAGCCCACCUCUACAGUAUACACCCUUAGGAAUUAAAACUUGUUGGGGAACUGUGAUCAUUGUUUCAGUUAAUAGGCAUGCACAUAUAUGCUAUAAGAAGACAAUUAUUUCUUGAGAAUGCACUACUGUUGAUCACAUUCAUGCAGCUGAAGGUUUACCUUCGGCCUCUUGGAACUCUCUGUAGUUGCCUUAGCUACAGGAGGAGUGUCCUCCAGCAUGUCAACUACUUGCAAAAAUAUUGACGUA